UGGGGAAUAUUGGACAAUGGGCGCAAGCCUGAUCCAGCCAUGCCGCGUGAGUGAUGAAGGCCCUAGGGUUGUAAAGCUCUUUCACCGGUGAAGAUAAUGACGGUAACCGGAGAAGAAGCCCCGGCUAACUUCGUGCCAGCAGCCGCGGUAAUACGAAGGGGGCUAGCGUUGUUCGGAUUUACUGGGCGUAAAGCGCACGUAGGCGGACUAUUAAGUCAGGGGUGAAAUCCCGGGGCUCAACCCCGGAACUGCCUUUGAUACUGGUAGUCUUGAGUUCGGGAGUGGUGAGUGAAAUUCCGAGUGUAGAGGUGAAAUUCGUAGAUAUUCUGAGGAACACCAGUGGCGACGGCGGCUCACUGGCUCGAUACUGACGCUGAGGUGCGAAAGCGUGGGAAGCAAACAGG
rnacentral:rRNA from 1 species